rnacentral:rRNA from 1 species
AGAUUAAGCCAUGCAUGUCUAAGUAUGAAUGUUUUUGUACUGUGAAACUGCGAAUGGCUCAUUAAAUCAGUUAUAGUUUACUUGAUGGUAACCGUACUCGGAUAACUGUACCAAUUGUAGAGCUAAUACGUGCACCAAGUCCCGACUUCCGGAAGGGAUGUAUUUAUUAGAUACAAAGCCAAUGCGGGCUCCGGCCCGGUACAGUUGGCGAGUCAUGAUAACUGCUCGAAUCGCAUGGCCGUGCGCCGGCGAUGGUUCAUUCAAAUUUCUGCCCUAUCAACUUUCGAUGGUAGGGUAUUGGCCUACCAUGGUUACAACGGGUAACGGAGAAUUAGGGUUCGAUUCCGGAGAGGGAGCCUGAGAAACGGCUACCACAUCCAAGGAAGGCAGCAGGCGCGCAAAUUACCCAAUCCCGACUCGGGGAGGUAGUGACAAUAAAUAACAAUGCUGGGCUAUUUUGGUCUGGCAAUUGGAAUGAGAACAAUCUAAAUCCCUUAACGAGGAACAAUUGGAGGGCAAGUCUGGUGCCAGCAGCCGCGGUAAUUCCAGCUCCAAUAGCGUAUAUUAAAGUUGUUGCAGUUAAAAAGCUCGUAGUUGGGUUUCGGAGCGGUCAGGCUGGUCCGCCGAGAGGCGAGUACUGGCCGGCCGCUCUUCCUCUCGGAGUCCCUGUCUGCUCUUUGUUGCAGUGGGCAGGGAAUUCGGGACGUUUACUUUGAAAAAAUUAGAGUGUUCAAAGCAGGCGAUUGCUUGAAUACGUUAGCAUGGAAUAAUGGAAUAGGACCUCGGUCCUAUUU